CAGUAGCCGCGGGAAUACGUAGGGUGCGAGCGUUAAUCGGAAUUACUGGGCGUAAAGCGUGCGCAGGCGGUUUGUUAAGUCUGUUGUGAAAUCCCCGGGCUCAACCUGGGAAUGGCAAUGGAUACUGGCAAGCUAGAGUGUGUCAGAGGAUGGUGGAAUUCCCGGUGUAGCGGUGAAAUGCGUAGAGAUCAGGAGGAACAUCAGUGGCGAAGGCGGCCAUCUGGGACAACACUGACGCUGAGGCACGAAAGCGUGGGGAGCAAACAGGAUUAGAUACCCCCGUAGUCCCUGUCUCUUAUAC
rnacentral:rRNA from 1 species